GCCCUGGGCCAUGUGGCCAUGUGGCUCUGCCAUCUGUUGAGCAGAUAAGGGAGCCUGGGUUUCUGACGUGGGUCCCUGGCACCUGGUGAAUACACCGGUAAAUGGGCCUUUCGCUGGUGUGACUGUCUGGUGCAUCACAGACCUUACCGCCCUGGGCUUCCCCCCACUCCGCAGUUGGACACAGCAAGAAAGCAGCCAUCUGCAAUCUGGGAAGAGAGCCCUCACCAGAACCUGAUGAAGCAGGCAGCCUGAGCUCGGACUUCCAGCCUCCAGAACUGUGAAAAAUAAAUGUCUGUUGCUUAAACCA
rnacentral:lncRNA from 1 species